AUUGAACGCUGGCGGCAGGCUUAACACAUGCAAGUCGAGCGCCCCGCAAGGGGAGCGGCAGACGGGUGAGUAACACGUGGGAAUCUACCCAUCUCUACGGAACAACUCCGGGAAACUGGAGCUAAUACCGUAUACGCCCUUUGGGGGAAAGAUUUAUCGGAGAUGGAUGAGCCCGCGUUGGAUUAGCUAGUUGGUGGGGUAAAGGCCUACCAAGGCGACGAUCCAUAGCUGGUCUGAGAGGAUGAUCAGCCACACUGGGACUGAGACACGGCCCAGACUCCUACGGGAGGCAGCAGUGGGGAAUAUUGGACAAUGGGCGCAAGCCUGAUCCAGCCAUGCCGCGUGAGUGAUGAAGGCCCUAGGGUUGUAAAGCUCUUUCACCGGUGGAGAUAAUGACGGUAACCGGAGAAGAAGCCCCGGCUAACUUCGUGCCAGCAGCCGCCGCCGUAA
rnacentral:rRNA from 1 species